ensembl:lncRNA
GGUUGGCAGACCACUACAUUGCUGCCUGCUAUAUGAUGAGAGAGAUGAGAGAGAUGUGGGUUGGCAGACCACUACAUUGCUGCCUGCUAUAUGAUGAGAGAGAUGUGGGUUGGCAGACCACUACAUUGCUGCCUGCUAUAUGAUGAGAGAGAUGAUGGAGAUGUGGGUUGGCAGACCACUACAUUGCUGCCUGCUAUAUGAUGAGGGAGAUGAGAGAGAUGUGGGUUGGCUGACCACUACAUUGCUGCCUGCUAUAUGAUGAGGGAGAUGAGAGAGCUGUGGGUUGGCAGACCACUACAUUGCUGCCUGCUAUAUGAUGAGAGAGAUGUGGGUUGGCAGACCACUACAUUGCUGCCUGCUAUAUGAUGAGAGAGGUCAGGGGGGGGAGACUAUAGUGCAGCUCACUAUAACAGACUAUAAACCGUCUCUCUAAGGUCAGUGGGGGGACUAUAGUGCAGCUCACUAUAACAGACUAUAAACCGUCU